UACAUACUCCCUCCGUUCGGAAUUACUCGUCCAAGAAAUGAAUGUAUCUAGAUGUAUUUUAGUUGUAGAUACAUCCAUUUUUGUGACAAGUAAUUCCGAACGGAGGGAGUACUAC
rfam:Triticum urartu cultivar G1812 contig211336, whole genome shotgun sequence.